GGGAUAUCGAAUUUUAUUAUGCUAACAAUAUACAUACAUAUGUGUAUAUACGCACAAGGUUUAUCUAUGCAUUAACGGCGCGAUAAUACACUCUGUCUCUCUAUUUGCGUGGGGCAAUGUGCCCACAUAACGCGCAACAUGGCGGGUUUCAGUCAGCAAGACUUCAACAGGAGUGCGUUGACGCUCGAUAAUGGACGGGCUUGGUACACCGGGCAGAAAGCAGAAAAGAUUCCCAAUGGAUUGGUGGGAGUCGUCGGUCACAAUUGUCUCGGCUUGGAUCUCUCGUUCAACGAACUGACCACCGUUUCCGGUGUAAAGGAUUUCGAGCAACUUCAAGAAUUGAUUCUGGACAAUAACAAACUCAAAGAUCUCAAAACGCUGCCGUGUAUUUCGACUUUGACUACGUUGAGUCUGAACAACAAUAAGAUCUCCAACAUUGACAGAGCUCUAGAACGGAUACGAGAGUGCUGUCCUAAUAUAGAAUACGUGAGUCUCUUGGGAAAUCCCGGCUGUCCCGAUCAGCUCACCAACCCAACGUCCACCGACGAAGACGAUUAUGAGCGUUACAGGCUUUACGCCAUCCAUACUUUACCUCCGACUCUUCGUUUCCUGGACUCACGAAGAGUCACUCAUCAGGAGAGACUGAACGCUAAGGAUCGUGGCAGGUACUCCAGGACGAUCAAGCUCGUUCCGGAGCUGGUACAUAAGUUCGUACCUAAUUCGACGCACACCGACAACGAGUUCGAUGACAUAUACUUCAACAUCCAUUACACACCCUUGCCAAACUCGCUACGUGCUCCUCAGGAUCACAAGGGCGCAUAUGGCAAGUGCAAGUAUCGAUACUCUGGCAAGAAUUCGGAGGGCAAUCGAUUCAUCUCGAAUAACGAUCUCUAAUUGAGAAAGAAUUGCACGAAUAUAUUUUUAAAUGUGACGUUAAAAUAUCGAGACGAUUCUCCUAAUCAGAUAAACUUCUUCGAUGGUAACAUUUCAUGCUCUUUCUCGAAUAACGUGCUCAAUUUGCGUUUAUAAAGGCGCUUACUCGCAAUUAAUAAAUCACACGAAGCGUAUACGAGUAAACGUAUAAAAUUUUUAUUAUCAUAUACACACCGACGAACGACAUAUAAAUAAAUGUCUGAUUCUCUAACAUAAGUUUUUAACAUUACAUUCCGUAAUAUUAAGUACUCUAAGUGGACUAACAUAUCGUAGAGUAACUUGGGGAUUUUAUCGAGAUAGAAAACGUAACGGGUUAUCGUAAAUUCUUCGAGUUUCUAUUGCUAUUGGUCCGUAAAUGCUAGACGUACAAUUAUCGCAACGACACUAAAUUUAGUAUCUCGAGAAUAUCGAAAUCUUAUGUAUAUAUAUAUAUAUAUAUAUAUAUAUAUAUAUAUAUAUAUUUCUCAGAGAAUUUGUGUUAGUUUUAAAUCUACCACACAAAUAUUGGUCCUGCAAAAAAUAGCUGAAUUAGAAAUUUAUAUAAGAAAUUUAAUUUACUUACAUUAUAAAUUCCUUACAUUCCCUCCAUCAUGUUUGGCUUUAUAAUUCCUAUCUUUUGUUAUUUUUAAAUUUUUCUAUUUAAAUCUCAUAAGAGAUAAAUCAAAGAAAUCGUUUUCUUCUCGAGUCACAUAUUUAAACUAAAAAUUUCCUAUUUGAAAUAUACCUUACUUAACAAUAUAAUUUACGCUAGAAAUUGACAGACAUAAUCAAUAUAUAUCUAAGUUAAACUUUUUUUAUUCAUCUAUUUUUUUGCUUACGCACAUCACUUGAAUCCCUACGUAAUGUUAAAGGCAGUUUUAUAUAGUUUCCUUUCGUUAAAACCCUGUUUCUAGGAAGAGAGAAAGUCUUUUAUAGCUAACAAUACGCAACAACUUACGAUGUCACACUCACAAAUAUAAUCGAAGGUAUAAGAAAACAAUUAAGUACGAAUAUACGUCAGUUCGAUCCUUCGAUUUAUGAUGGAACAUUCGAUACGUAUUUAUAACGCUUCAGCAUUUAACGCUAAUUGUGACUGAAAUUAUCGAAUGUUAUUUAAUACAGAUAUCGAAUCUCACAAAACAUUUAACGCUAAAUACAUACAGAGGGAUUAAAAAAAAUGGAUCAUUCAACGCAUUUAACGUAAUCAUGAAUUCGAGCUUGUUACGGUCAUUUUGAAAUUACCGGAAGAAAACUUCAUUUUUACAUACGUACGUAUAUAUGAAUGGCGAAUUUCCUUUAUAUACGUAUAUGUAUAUUUAAAUAUAUCUAUGAGAAUGUGUAUUCGCGUUCAAAUUGUGAAAAGGGAAGCGGUCAUAUUUAAAUGUCUUAAAUACACCGUUCCUUCGCUCACUCGCUCCAGAGACUCACUCAUUUCUAUUGUACCUAUUUGCUGGAAGCAUCUUUCUUUCCAAGAAAGGAAAGUGUCCACAAAAUUCAAAACGCUGAAUUCUUUACUUAUAAGUCUCGAAUAAUUUACUCGGCAGAUAAAAGGCAAAUGGACGAAAGAAAUGUAUUCUAUUUUUAUAAAAUUCUUGGAUUCUCCAUUA